GUCCUGGUGGCCGAGUCGGUAGGACGCCGAGCCUUGAGAACUAAGGGUAUUCCCGAUGGAUGUGCUGGGUUCUAAUCCCGGUCGGGUCG